rnacentral:rRNA from 1 species
AAGCAUAUCAAUAAGCGGAGGAAAAGAAACCAACAGGGAUUGCCCUAGUAACGGCGAGUGAAGCGGCAACAGCUCAAAUUUGAAAUCUGGCUUUCGGGCCCGAGUUGUAAUUUGUAGAGGAUACUUUUGAUGCGGUGCCUUCCGAGUUCCCUGGAACGGGACGCCAUAGAGGGUGAGAGCCCCGUCUGGUUGGAUGCCAAAUCUCUGUAAAGUUCCUUCGACGAGUCGAGUAGUUUGGGAAUGCUGCUCUAAAUGGGAGGUAUAUGUCUUCUAAAGCUAAAUAUUGGCCAGAGACCGAUAGCGCACAAGUAGAGUGAUCGAAAGAUGAAAAGCACUUUGAAAAGAGAGUUAAAAAGUACGUGAAAUUGUUGAAAGGGAAGCGUUUAUGACCAGACUUGGACUUGGUUAAUCAUCUGGGGUUCUCCCCAGUGCACUUUUCCAGUUCAGGCCAGCAUCAGUUUUCGCCGGGGGAUAAAGGCAGCGGGAAUGUGGCUCUCUUCGGGGAGUGUUAUAGCCCGUUGUGUAAUACCCUGGUGGGGACUGAGGUUCGCGCUUCUGCAAGGAUGCUGGCGUAAUGGUCAUCAACGACCCGUCUUGAAACACGGACCAAGGAGUCGUCUUCGUAUGCGAGUGUUCGGGUGUCAAACCCCUACGCGUAAUGAAAGUGAACGCAGGUGAGAGCUUCGGCGCAUCAUCGACCGAUCCUGAUGUUCUCGGAUGGAUUUGAGUAAGAGCAUACGGGGCCGGACCCGAAAGAAGGUGAACUAUGCCUGUAUAGGGUGAAGCCAGAGGAAACUCUGGUGGAGGCUCGCAGCGGUUCUGACGUGCAAAUCGAUCGUCAAAUAUGGGCAUGGGGGCGAAAGACUAAUCAAACCUUCUAGUAGCUGGUUUCCGCCGAG